UGGGGAAUAUUGCACAAUGGGCGAAAGCCUGAUGCAGCAACGCCGCGUGAGGGACGACGGCCUUCGGGUUGUAAACCUCUUUAGCAAGGAAGAAGCGAAAGUGACGAUACUUGCAGAAAAAGCGCCGGCUAACUACGUGCCAGCAGCCGCGGUAAUACGUAGGGCGCAAGCGUUAUCCGGAAUUAUUGGGCGUAAAGAGCUCGUAGGCGGUUUGUCGCGUCUGCUGUGAAAACCCGAGGCUCAACCUCGGGCCUGCAGUGGGUACGGGCAGACUAGAGUGCGGUAGGGGAGAUUGGAACUCCUGGUGUAGCGGUGGAAUGCGCAGAUAUCAGGAAGAACACCGAUGGCGAAGGCAGAUCUCUGGGCCGUAACUGACGCUGAGGAGCGAAAGGGUGGGGAGCAAACAGGCUUAGAUACCCUGGUAGUCCACCCGUAAACGUUGGGAACUAGUUGUGGGGUCCAUUUCCACGGAUUCCGUGACGCAGCUAACGCAUUAAGUUCCCCGCCUGGGGAGUACGGCCGCAAGGCU
rnacentral:rRNA from 1 species